GACGAACGCUGGCGGCGUGCUUAACACAUGCAAGUCGAACGGAAAGGCCCCUUUGGGGGUACUCGAGUGGCGAACGGGUGAGUAACACGUGAGUAACCUGCCCUUGACUUCGGGAUAACUUCAGGAAACUGGGGCUAAUACCGGAUAGGAAUCCUUGCUGCAUGGUGGGGGUUGGAAAGCUUCUGCGGUUUUGGAUGGACUCGCGGCUUAUCAGCUUGUUGGUGGGGUAGUGGCUUACCAAGGCUUUUACGGGUAGCCGGCCUGAGAGGGCGACCGGCCACAUUGGGAAUGAGAUACGGCCCAGACUCCUACGGGAGGCAGCAGUGGGGAAUAUUGCACAAUGGGCGGAAGCCUGAUGCAGCAACGCCGCGUGCGGGAUGACGGCCUUCGGGUUGUAAACCGCUUUCAGCAGGGGCGAAGCUUGCGGUGACGGUACCUGCAGAAGAAGCACCGGCUAACUACGUG
rnacentral:rRNA from 1 species